UAUUUGGCCUUGGAAAAAUCAUACACCGUGCUUUUGCGCCAAACACUCUCAGUCUCUCUAGUUGCUUUUUCCCAUACCAUAUGACGACCGGGACUCUUAUUUUUGAAUCCCUUUAAACUGCCAACAUUAAUGUUACGAGCCUCGACGUAGUUGUUUUUAAAAAAGGAUUUAGUAAUUGAAAGUAGAAUUAUUGAUUAAGACAGCCGCCGGGAAUGGAUGUUGGAUCGAGACUGAUUGACCGAUGACUAGGAUUGUCGGUUGUGAGCCAGGGAUGUCAGAGUCAGCGGAAAAGGUAUGAGUGGAUGCAGCGAUCUUAAGUUUUAUGGAUAGUCUACGCUCUAAGAGUCUACGUAAUGAUGCGCGCGGCGAGCUCGGUGUGCGGUAUGCUGCGCGGGGUAGGGCGUCACCAAGUGCGACGAGCCGAACGGGCAGACACCGGACAAGUGAGGGCAAACGACGCUGACGGUUGUGUGGAAUUUGCGAGGUUUUCGGAGUAAAUUCUUUUGUUGCAAUCUGCGACUACACCUGUUUUUCUCACUUAGGGGUGCCCCCGACGUGACGACACUUGAAAUAUUUUAACUUACAUAAUAUAUAUGAUAAUAAUUAUAAUUAUAGCGUGUGGUUUACUUACAUUAAUGAUAUAGUGAGCAACCCCGGGUAGUUUUGCCGUUAGCUAAGCGGGCGAGCGAAAAUCACGACAGUGAGCCUGCUGUUACGGCGGUGCCCGCCAUUUUGUGUGAUUAUUAUAUGUAUUAUUCUAAGUUCCAAACUG
rnacentral:misc_RNA from 1 species